rnacentral:tRNA from 12 species
GGUCUGGUAGUUCAGUUGGUUAGAAUACCUGCCUGUCACGCAGGGGGUCGCGGGUUCGAGUCCCGUCCAGACCGCGA